AGAUACAACAAUUCAGUUGUUUCAAAUCAACCAGCGGACACUUAUUCAGUGCUCCCAGCAACGACUUUGGCUGCCUCAACACCUGGUGCAGCCCCAUCUGUACCUGCGCCACCUCCGCCCGCUGGCCCGCCGCCUCCUCCCGCUGGCCCACCACCUCCUGUUUCACGGUACACAGAGAGGAACAGGCGUCGGCGAGCCGCUGAAGAGGCCAGUGGUAGUGCGGAGAAAAGAAAAUAUGUAAGGGGUGCGACAUAUAACAUGUGUAGCCAAUGUGGCAAACCCAAGACUAAAGAGUAUGGGCAUAGUCGCUUUGGGAGCGCGACUUUCUGUUCCCAGGCCUCAGGUGGCAAGUCUGUUGAAGAGUGGUUGGAAGAACAGAGAGCUCAAAAGUAGUUCUUCUAUUGUACAAUAUGUAUAUAGUGUGUGUAUAAGUUCUGCUGCUAUUGCUUGUAUAGUGUGUGUUUGUGUGUGUGUAUAUACCACAUAUAUUAUGUAGUUUUUACAUGUACAUAGUUUUCCUGACAACCUUCCCCCUUUACUCAUGCACAUUUCUCCCUGUAAAUUGUACAUUGGUUUGUGUGAGUGAUUAAAUACAUGCUUGGUUUUUAAA